rnacentral:rRNA from 1 species
ACGGGAGGCAGCAGUGAGGAGUAUUGGUCAAUGGGCGGAAGCCUGAACCAGCCAAGUCGCGUGAAGGAUGAAGGUAUUAUGUAUUGUAAACUUCUUUAGCUGUGGAGCAAUAAUCUCCAUGUAUGGAGAGAUGAGAGUACACAGAGAAUAAGGAUCGGCUAACUCCGUGCCAGCAGCCGCGGUAAUACGGAGGAUCCGAGCGUUAUCCGGAUUUAUUGGGUUUAAAGGGUGCGCAGGCGGCUUUCUAAGUCAGUGGUCAAAUCGUGGUGCUCAACGCCAUCCCGCCAUUGAUACUGGAGAGCUUGAUUGCGGUCGAGGUUUGCGGAAUUCGUCGUGUAGCGGUGAAAUGCAUAGAUAUGACGAAGAACACCGAUUGCGUAGGCAGCAGACCAGGCCGUAAAUGACGCUCAUGCACGAAAGUGCGGGGAUCGAACAGGAUUAGAUACCCUGGUA